AUACCUGGAAGUCAGAUUCCAGGCUCCUCUGUGGACGGCUUUGUCUUCGUUCCCUGGCACUUCCAACCCACCCUCUCUACCCAGGAACUAAGGUGAGCUUGACAAACCGCAUAUCAGAGCAUGCCAUACCCUUCAGCAGCUUCUAGGGCACAGAGAGUGAACGUCAGCUGACCUCCCCAUUCACUGUGCUCUGGUGGCAAUGGCCCUCUGUCAGCUCCCAGAUCACACCAAGCUCUUUCUCACCCCAGGACCUUUGCACUUGCCAUGUCGUCUACCUGGAGUGCCCUCCCAAGCCCCAACCUUGCCUGGCUGGCUUCUUAUACUACAGAUCUGUGCUCAGAUGUCUCCAGAUUCCUGGAGAUACAUUCCAGGUAUCUCCUAUGAGGAGCUGUGCAAUGCCCUCACUCCAUUAUUCUCACCCCUCUCUAUCACAUUUCAGUUGGCCUUCCGGAUCCAUGGGUUCAGAAUCUGCAGAUCCAACCAACCGUGGACCAAAAAUAUUCAGAGAAAAAAAAUAAUAAUGCAACAAUAUAAAUAAUACAAAUAAAAAUAUAGUAUAACAAUGAUUUACCUAGCAUUUACAUGAUAGUAAGUAUUAUAAGUAAUCUAGAGAUGCUUUAAAGGAUCCAGGUGGAUGUGCGUGGGUGAUGUGCAGAUGCUGUGCCAUUUUAUAUGUGGGACUUGAGAAUCCUAGGAUUGUGGUAUCUGCUUGGGGGUGUCCUGGAACCAAUCCCUCAUGGAUCCUGAGGGACAGUUGUACCUUAUUCCCUUCACCACACUCAUCACACACUGUAACUGUUUUUCCUUAUUAUUUUAAAGGCAUUUUUGUAGUGUGUCUCUCCUCACCCACUAGAUCAGAAACCUCCCGAAAGCAGGUCUGAUUAUGUCUUGUUCACCACUUUAUCUCCAUCAUUGUCCCUGAUAUAUGGUAACUACUCAAUUCCUUUGUGAUGAAUGAAUGAUGUGAGUGUUGGGGGAAGGAACGGGGGCCUGGAUGUUCCUUUCCUAAGGUGUCUUGUUCAUCCACCCCAGCAGCAAGUGUUGCAUUGAAAGGACUCCACCACCAUGUUCACCACGAACUCAUUCACCCCACAGAUAUUUACAAAUCAUCUACCACAUGCCCAGGGUUGGGUGCUGUCCUGGGGGUUGGGGAGAGGAUGGUGGUGAAAACAUCAGACCUAGUCCCUGUCCUCAUGGGGCUUCCAGUCUAGUGGGGGGGCGGGCAGACUCUGAAGACAUAGCAUCAGUCGGUGAGCUUGAGCAGUUGGGGCUGACUUCCUGUAGGAAGCAACCUUUAAGCUGAACUUGAAAGGACAAGUAGGACCUUGUUGGCAAAGAGCAUUGGCCAAGGUGUUGGAGGGAUCUGCAAUAGCAGGUCGGGGGCAGGAAUACACUGAGCCCCUCGAAUCUAGAUUCCCUGCACCAGUGAAUUAAGGCCAGUGAAAUCUGUCCAGUGUUCCUCAUCGCUUCCUGAGCAGAUCGAAUGGGACAAGGGCCUCAGGGUGCUUCAGGAAAUGGAAGACACAGCAUGUGUGUGGGCGGAGUGGUUGAAGCCUCACUGUGAUUCACUUGGACCUCCAAGGAGGUCACAGCUGCCCUCUGGAAUGGCCACAUUCCAUGGGGAGGGGGUUCAGGACACGCCACCUCAAAUUUGGCACCUUGGUAUAUUGAAUAUUUUAAGCAGAUGGAAUUUGAGAAAUGGCAGGCGCAGGAAGGACUCUCUGACCUUUCCCUGAAGCAGGUCACAAGACCUUCACGUGAGAGGUUCCCUCUCUGUACCUGGAGGAAGGCAGCAUCUUCACUUCCAAGGGAUCUGAACAAGCCACCCUGCUGAGUGUCCCCAGUUUACUGCCCUUAGCUCAGGUCCUUCUAUCCUUCACACUUUCCCAUGACUCCCCACCCUUCAUCCAACCCAGCAAAAAACACUCAGCUAGAACCACUUCUGUGGGUCUUCAUUUCCUUAUAAAAUCUCCUGCAUCACCUAAAACGUAUACAAACUAGACUUGUAUCCUUUUGUCUUGUGAAUUCGUCUUUUGCUACCGGGGACCCAGCCAAGAACCUAGAAGGGUGGAAUGAAGAGUAGACCUUGAAACAAGGAUUUAGGAGGAAAGGGUUUAUGUGAGAAGGGGUCCCAGGAAGCUGAUGGAAUGAGCUAGAAGGGAAGGAAGCCAAUACGGGUGCCUUCUCAAGGUUAUUCUGGGGGGUCACUGAGAAACUCCGGGAGAGAGUUGACAGCAUUCAUCCCAUAGUUUCUCAAUGUCCCCCCUUCUUAUCCCAUUUUCUAAUUUUACCUAUUAGGAAACACCCCCAAGGGGCCAAGGAGCAUACCCAGAACUGCCCGCUCAUUUUGCACAUUUCAUUAUGCACCCACUGUGUGCCAGGCCCUGGGCUGAGAGCUGGGCAUACGAGGUGAAGGAGGAGCUUGUACUUUGUCCUCCUGAGCAUGCAUCUGAACUGUCCCCCUGGAGGGACGAGGGGGCUGGGUAUGCACCCAAUAAACAGUCAUUGGUCAAGGCUGCUCCCGGGGUGGCGUCAACUCCCCGGCACUUCUCACCUUUCUCAUGUGCAGGCUGAGUGGUCUCCAGUGCCCUGAGAAAGCCCUGUGGAAGCACCAAGGAUGCUGGCACUGCCAGGAAGAGCGAGGGGUAAGAGGAAGUGGGCAGGGUGGGAUAACUGUCGGCCACAUCUGCCUCCUCCCUUUCACAGAGGGCUCCUUCCUGCCCUCAGUUCUCCACCCAAGUGCCACCUUCCUCGAUGGCCCUGCCUGACCACCCAUCUAAAUGGCACCCAGCAUCUCAUUCCUUCCCGGUACUGCACCCCACUUGCCCCUUCAUUACACGCCCAUGGUUUAGAAUCACUUCUUUGCAGAAUGUGGAAUGAUGUAUUCAUCUACAUUUUGCCAUGUCUCUCCGACUAGAUUGCAAAGCCGUGCUUUUCUCAUUCCCCCUGUAUCCCUGGGCACCUUCCACCAAGCCAAGGUCCUAGUAGGUGCUCAACUAAAUAGCCUUGGAGGGAAUACAUUCUUGUCAAUUCCAACCUGGGAGUUCUGGGCUCUGGGGCUAAGACCUAGAAAAGCAUUUGAUAGAUGUGCCUCUGGGACGCUCUAUCCAGAGAGGCAGUGAUCUGUCCAAGGUCAUACAACCAGGGAUACACACCUGCACCCCCUGGGGGCAGAAGUCCUGAUGAUCCACCCGACUUCCAUCCCUCCAGGGCCCCAUCAGUGGGACAAAAAGCUCCAGGAGUCCUUGGGGCUCCUCUAGGCUACCCGCGAAAUUGCUCUCAGCCAAUUCUUGGUAAUCUUCUCAGUCUCAUUCUCUCCCUACUUUCCCCAGCUGAAGAGGAAACGGCUCAGACAGCUGUGGAGCUGGGACUCUCUCUCGUUGAGAUGCAUUAAUUUGUAAAUAUCUUCAUUUAUAUGUAAAUGCGGAGUCCCGCGCCCCGUCGCCAGCCCUGAUGGGGCUCUGCAGCCUGAAGAGGCAGUCGCCCCCAGCAUGGCUGGUUGGGAGGGCUGACAAUCCUCCGUGAUCCCGUUAGGCUCCAGAGGGUCUGCUCCUUCCUUCCCUCUCCCUUGGUGGUCACCAAACAGGACGGCUCAGCUCCCUGGGGUGUUCUUUGCUUGGGAGACCGCCCCUGUUACUGAGGCUCAGGGAGAUUGGCCCCCAUGUGGGGAAGAAAAGAGCACUGGCUCCUGAUAUCAGGCUUAAGUCAGGGCCGCUGUGUGACCUCAGGCAAGCCUCAUUCCCUCUCUGGGCCUUGGCUUCCACAACUGAAAAGCAAGGGGUCUGGUCAAGUUCAUGUCAUUCCAGAGGGAGACUGUUGGGCCUGCUGAACUUUGACCUCUUCUGUAGUAAGAACAGGGCUAGAGAAAAUGAUUAAUAAUAAUAAUACCUGCCUGCAUUCAUGGGGUUGUUUGUGCAGAUCAAAACAGAAAGCGCAUAAAAGGAGGCUUUAUGAGAUUUGUAAAAAGGUGAAUUUUUUUUGUUUUGUUUUAUGGUGGGAGAAGGAGAGGUUGUUCUAGGCAAUGGCAGCAAACAUGUACCACUUAGAGGCCGGAAACCAGCACUUCACUUGAAUGCACGCCAUCAGCUCCUCACAACUUGCAGCUAGCCUCUUAGUGCUGUCAUGUUACUUUGGAGGUCAGGAAACUCAACUGUGGGGUUACCAGCCCCAGAUUUCACUAAUGCCAGGAUGUGGAAGAGGCAGGAUUUGAACUCAGGCUGUUGGACAUAAAUUUCACUGAAAUUCCACAAUUGUACAAAGCCUGUCAUGUCAAGUCUGCUCUACAGGCGAAGGACCUGAAGCAGAGAGAGAGAGAGGUUAAGGCUCUCAUCCCAGGUCAUACAGUAGGCAGAGACUGAGCUGGGAUUUUCAUCUGGGUCUUCUGGUAGCAGGGCUUGCCCUUGAGGCUCCAGGAAGCAGGAGAGGGUGGUGCUCAGGAAUGUUCUAGAUGGUCCCUGGGUUUCUUUCUUAGCUAGAAAUCAGAACCAAGGAGUCCUAGAGGCCUUGCUGGUGGCAGCGGGUGGCUUGGUGAGGAAAGAAUUCUCAGAGACACAGUGACCGGCAGGGGUGGGCUGGGUGGCAUUAGGCUUCUGGGAGUCGUGGAGAUUAUUUGGGAGUUCACUUACUACAAAACCAUCUGUGGUUUCCAGAAUAGCUAUUUUCUCCAAAAUGAAUUUUUAUCUCCUUUUUCAUCUUGAUUGUAACUGGCUUGUUUUAGGUGUGCUUUAAUAUUUUAAGGCACCAUAAUUUCUUUUUGGAAGCAGGUUCAGGAGAAAUCAUAACUAGGGGGAUGAAGGAGUUUGUGCGGCUGUUCACACACCUCUUCACACACCUUCACGUCCACAUUCUCAGCAUGGUCCUGGCACAGAGCCCAGAGAGGACGAGGACCCAGCCGGGCCGCCUGGGGAGCACACUCACCUUCCCAUUUUUACAAAAGCAGGCAGAGGAGGAUGCCUGGGUCAGAUUCUUGAUGCAGGGUUGGACUUACCCUUUACAAUCUUCUUGUCCCGCUUUCUAAUUUCACCCAAUAGAAAACAGGCCUGAAGGGCUGAGGAGUGUAGCCUGAGUUGUCCACUCAUUUUGCAAAUUUCAUUAUGUACCCACUGUGUGCCAGGCCCUGGGCUGAGAGCUGGGGAUGCAAGGUGAAGGAGGAGCAUGUGCCUUGUCCUCCUGGAGCUCACGGUCACAGAGACCCACAGCCCGUGCUGGAGAGUACGGCUUCCCCCUCCUCCAGGCUCAGUCUAAAGACAACACAGUACCAGGCACUAGCUGAGACAUCCACAUAGCAUGGUGCCACAGUGCACAUCAUGUGGGCUUGCCGGGGCUGCAGUCCCCCUCACGGUACCCGAUGCAGCACGGUCCCCCUCCAGCUUUGGAGCAGACCACUACUUUCAGGCUGGGCACCUGGCAAAGCAUUUGGCGGUGUGGCGUGGAAGAGUGUGUGUGUGCAAAGCUGUGCACUCUUCAUGAAUGCAGUGAGAUUCCCUCUGAGGAGGGGUGGGUACUGGGGCAGUUGCAGCCGACCAGCUUUGGGGGAUCAGUUCAGCUAAGGUGAGGGCUCCCAUGGGUGGAAUUGCUGGAGUGGGGUUCUGAAGGCUGAUGAGGAGUUUACCAGAUGACCGAAGGGAGAAAGGCCCUUUGAGAAGAGGGACCGGUGUGUGUUAAGGGUCAAAGGGAUAAAACAGGACUAGGAUCUUGUAGGGAGUUUGUGGGAAGGAGAUAGAGCCACACACAUAGAGAACAGCAGGCUCUGGAAGAUCGAGUCAGCUUGAUUCUGCCACCCGCCUCCUGGAAAACAGGGAUGGGGUAGGAAAAUCAAGCAUCUCCGACUUGAGCACUGCUCCUUCCCACCCUGCUGCUUCUGACCUGGGAGUCCAGUUGCUUGGGGUCAUUCUCUCUUAAGCUCGGGGCCCUUAUGGCCUUGGAGCACACAAAAAACAGUAGAAUGUGGUGUUUGAGCUUCCAAGCCGGGCAGAACUGCUUCACCGCCCAGCGGUGUCAUUGUUGCCUGUGUGACUUUAGGCCCAUUGCUCCCCCUCUCUGGGCCUCAGUAUCUCACUUGGAAAUAAAUGGAGUUUGGAAUACCCACCUUCCAGGACUGUUGGAGGAGCUGGCAGAGGAGGCCAGUCAGAAGAGCGGUGGCCUGGCCCUCUCCUGCCUCUUCCCUCCAGGGGAUGUCCCUCCAGGGAAUGGGUCCCACUUCCAUAAGGGGAGCCCCCAGUUCUGCCUUCCAAGCCCAAGAGCACCGAGGGAUUGAUGUGAAAGGGCUGGAGAACUGCCCUCUGCCCCACUCCCCAUCCCUCCGCCCUUCCCCCGCUGUCGGCCCGCCACCCCCAGGCACUCACCUCACAGUGGACUGGUACACCAGGUCCUCUCGCUUGCGGUAGUUCUCCAUGUGUGAGUAGUUGGUGGAGAACAUGGCGUCGAAGGUGAAGAUCUUUUGCUUGAUGGUGCCACCAUCCGUCACCUGCCACAGAGCACAGAGAUAGCCACACGUGAGUGCUCAACCGGCCCUGGUCACCCCUUUCCCCAGGACACUGACAAGAUGCAGGCAGGAAGCCCAGAAGAAGGACAGCCCCCAUCCUGAGAAUAAGGUAAUAACCGAGGGCUUCCUGGAGGCAGCGAUGUUUUAAGUUGCCUCCUGAAGGAAGAGUAGGAGCCAGCCUGGCAACGGGUGGGAGUUUUCUAGGCAAAGGGAACAGCAAAGGCCCUGCGGCAGGAAAGAGCAGUGUGCGCUCAGGGGAAGCUUGCUGCCUUCACAGCACCUGGAGAAGAAAGGAAGUGGGAUGAGAAGAGGCUGCGAAGAAAAAUGUGGGCCAGAUCAUGGAGGGUCUCCACAGCAAAGGAGCUCAGCUUCUCCUGAAGGCGGUGGUCCCCGGGGCCAGGAUUAGAUUAGAUUUACAAGCUCCUCUGGCUAUAGAUUGAGGAUGAAUCGAAAGGGGCAAGACUAGAGGCAGGGAGCCCGGGAGGAGGCCAGGAAUCCAACAUCCCGGCACGGGCGAUGCAGACGGGGACAGCGUGGGGCACUUGCCCUCGUCUUGGGAUGGGCCAGGAGAGAGGACAUGAAGUCCCCAUUUCACCUAAGAAUGCGGAAGUGGGAGAAGGCAGGGAGGUGGCGAUGAAGCCAGCGCUGGAAGCCCAAGGCUGCCGGGCUGUCCCGCUGUUCAUGGCUGAUGGAAAGCGAACCCAAGCGUCCGUGCCCUCAGCUGCCGCCCGCCUGCUUCCCCACAUCUGCGCUGCCUCCAGCUAAUGAAAGUGUUACUCCACGAAGCAGCAAGGUAAAGAAACUGAGGCUUGGAGAGGCAAAAUGAUUCGGCUGAGGCCCCACACUAGGUUCCUGACAAGCGUCUGGCUUCUGGACCAGAGUUCACAUCCCAUCCCAUCAGGCUGGAAGAGACUGCGGGUGAACUGAAUGCCUCUCAACGUCCCUUUCCACCCCUGGUGGCCAGGCUCAUUAGGAGAAAGGAUGUCAGAAUCUCAGUGGAGGUGUGAGGAUUUUUCUCCCAAAGUCAUAAAGCGGAAGGCAUCCUGCCUGUUUAACUGGCAGCCCGUCUUCUGGCCUCACCUCCCUUCAGGUACUGCUUUUUUAUCUCCUCCUAAAAUGCGGCAGCCCUUAUCGUCCCAAUCUCAAAUUUCACUCCAUUUUUUUUAUUACACAAAAGAGAAAAAAAUCUGUCAGUAAAACUGUCUCCUCAAAUUUA